UCUGGCAGAGAAACCCUUUUGCAAAGGCCCUCAGGUAGGUAUAAGGACCUGGGGCCUGAUAUACCAGGACAACAGGAAAGAGGCCACGUGAGCCUGUUGGGGGAAGAGGACAGAGGAAUGGCAACCCUGGCGGGGCCCCGCCGGCCACACGGGGAGCCUGGAUUUAAAGUGAGUAUGUCUUCAGCCACAUUGCCUUUGGAGAGUCACAGACAGGAGUGACGAGAUCUGGGUCGUGUUUUUCAGAGUCCUCCCUGCUGCUGUGUGGACGACACGUGGGCACAGGCAGAAGUGGGCCCUGUGACCAGCUGCACUGGUUUCGUGGAAGGAAGCUCCAGGACUGGCGGGAUGGGCUCAGCCUGUAUCAAAGUCACCAAAUACUUUCUCUUCCUCUUCAACUUGAUCUUCUUUGUAAGUAUGUCCCAUGCCGUCCUGACCACCUCCGAAAAGAUUCUCCUCCCAGGGGCAUCCCAGCCUGAGCCUUUCCAGAGCCGACCGGGCCGGGGAUUGGGGGGAUUUGGUGGGUAGGGACUGAGGACGAACUAUCUCCAAUGGAACCUAGUGGGGGUGGUGAGGAGAUUCCCUGCCAUUCCUACCUGGUCCUUUGACCAAGCACUGGAUUCCUGACCCGGCCUUCCCCUCUCCUAGAUCACCCAAAGCCUGGGCUGGCGGUGGGUAUGGG
rnacentral:sRNA from 1 species